ACUCUCUGAAUACUGCAGGAGAUCUUCAACUUGACCACUUCUCAAGUGUUUCACAGAACCAGUGUUUUUUUGUGAAAUCAUGAACCGAGCAGCUUUGCUGCAGGACUUGCUUCUGCCAUGAGGGUCCUGCUUUGGAAUCAGCCUAUGACAGAUUUAAGCCCCGCAUGAGGGGCAGCGUGUGACUGAAUGGGACCUAGGAGCUGCAGAAGACUCAUCCCGAAAGGAAUCCAGGCCCUGGGUCACUAAGUAACGACAGCCGCCUGCCACCAGGGUCCCCAUACACAGGGCUCCACUCACAUCUAAAUAGGGGCAUCGGUCUCUGUCAUCGUGCCAACCUCCUUUCCAGUUUUAUUUUUAUGUCAGCCACUAUUUCCCUGACGGAUGCAGCUGCCUUCCAUUGGCACAAGCUCCCUGAGCUGAGGCCUGGACAAAGUAAGGGACAGUGCCUCAUUGCUAUGAGUUUUGGCUGCUGGAUGCCUGAUGAUUUACGAUGUGAAGAGGUUUAUAAAUCGCAUAGCAUUGUUUUAGGCCCAAAUGAUAUCGAAAUUCAGUGCCAACAUUAAUGUAUCUUAUUUUACUUUGUAACCAAGACAAAACACAGAGCU